rnacentral:rRNA from 1 species
UGGGGAAUUUUGGACAAUGGGCGAAAGCCUGAUCCAGCAAUGCCGCGUGUGUGAAGAAGGCCUUCGGGUUGUAAAGCACUUUUGUCCGGAAAGAAAUCCUUGGCUCUAAUACAGUCGGGGGAUGACGGUACCGGAAGAAUAAGCACCGGCUAACUACGUGCCAGCAGCCGCGGUAAUACGUAGGGUGCAAGCGUUAAUCGGAAUUACUGGGCGUAAAGCGUGCGCAGGCGGUUUGCUAAGACCGAUGUGAAAUCCCCGGGCUCAACCUGGGAACUGCAUUUGGGNGACUGGCAGGGCUAGAGUAUGGCAGAGGGGGGUAGAAUUCCACGUGUAGCAGUGAAAUGCGUAGAGAUGUGGAGGAAUACCGAUGGCGAAGGCAGCCCCCUGGGCCAAUACUGACGCUCAUGCACGAAAGCGUGGGGAGCAAACAGGAUUAGAUACCCUGGUAGUCCACGCCCUAAACGAUGUCAACUAGUUGUUGGGGAUUCAUUUCCUAGUAACGUAGCUAACGCGUGAAGUUGACCGCCUGGGGAGUACGGUCGCAAGAUUAAAACUCAAAUGAAUUGACGGGGU